ACAUGCUUCCUUAUAUCCCCAUAUUAAUACGCCACUUAUGGAAUGUAAGGAAGUGUGUGG
ensembl:miRNA